AUGAAGAUCCCCAAAUCCCUGAUGAAGAGGCAUCACGGUGUGCAGAAUCUGGCGUGUGUUGUUAGGUAUUGAGGGAAUACUUCUGACUCUCACAUUGUUAAUCAUUUGUUGGUGAAGACAGAGAGUGUGGCUCUUCUUUUUUGUAUGGAGCCUUGCCAUAAUCUGAAUUUCUUGAAAGACAUGGAAUGGGAUCUGGG